rnacentral:rRNA from 1 species
CCAAGGCUAAAUACUCCUGACUGACCGAUAGUGAACCAGUACCGUGAGGGAAAGGCGAAAAGAACCCCGGCGAGGGGAGUGAAAAAGAACCUGAAACCGUGUACGUACAAGCAGUGGGAGCACGCUUAGGCGUGUGACUGCGUACCUUUUGUAUAAUGGGUCAGCGACUUAUAUUCUGUAGCAAGGUUAACCGAAUAGGGGAGCCGAAGGGAAACCGAGUCUUAACUGGGCGUUAAGUUGCAGGGUAUAGACCCGAAACCCGGUGAUCUAGCCAUGGGCAGGUUGAAGGUUGGGUAACACUAACUGGAGGACCGAACCGACUAAUGUUGAAAAAUUAGCGGAUGACUUGUGGCUGGGGGUGAAAGGCCAAUCAAACCGGGAGAUAGCUGGUUCUCCCCGAAAGCUAUUUAGGUAGCGCCUCGUGAAUUCAUCUCCGGGGGUAGAGCACUGUUUCGGCAAGGGGGUCAUCCCGACUUACCAACCCGAUGCAAACUGCGAAUACCGGAGAAUGUUAUCACGGGAGACACACGGCGGGUGCUAACGUCCGUCGUGAAGAGGGAAACAACCCAGACCGCCAGCUAAGGUCCCAAAGUCAUGGUUAAGUGGGAAACGAUGUGGGAAGGCCCAGACAGCCAGGAUGUUGGCUUAGAAGCAGCCAUCAUUUAAAGAAAGCGUAAUAGCUCACUGGUCGAGUCGGCCUGCGCGGAAGAUGUAACGGGGCUAAACCAUGCACCGAAGCUGCGGCAGCGACGCUUAUGCGUUGUUGGGUAGGGGAGCGUUCUGUAAGCCUGCGAAGGUGUGCUGUGAGGCAUGCUGGAGGUAUCAGAAGUGCGAAUGCUGACAUAAGUAACGAUAAAGCGGGUGAAAAGCCCGCUCGCCGGAAGACCAAGGGUUCCUGUCCAACGUUAAUCGGGGCAGGGUGAGUCGACCCCUAAGGCGAGGCCGAAAGGCGUAGUCGAUGGGAAACAGGUUAAUAUUCCUGUACUUGGUGUUACUGCGAAGGGGGGACGGAGAAGGCUAUGUUGGCCGGGCGACGGUUGUCCCGGUUUAAGCGUGUAGGCUGGUUUUCCAGGCAAAUCCGGAAAAUCAAGGCUGAGGCGUGAUGACGAGGCACUACGGUGCUGAAGCAACAAAUGCCCUGCUUCCAGGAAAAGCCUCUAAGCAUCAGGUAACAUCAAAUCGUACCCCAAACCGACACAGGUGGUCAGGUAGAGAAUACCAAGGCGCUUGAGAGAACUCGGGUGAAGGAACUAGGCAAAAUGGUGCCGUAACUUCGGGAGAAGGCACGCUGAUAUGUAGGUGAAGUCCCUUGCGGAUGGAGCUGAAAUCAGUCGAAGAUACCAGCUGGCUGCAACUGUUUAUUAAAAACACAGCACUGUGCAAACACGAAAGUGGACGUAUACGGUGUGACGCCUGCCCGGUGCCGGAAGGUUAAUUGAUGGGGUCAGCGCAAGCGAAGCUCUUGAUCGAAGCCCCGGUAAACGGCGGCCGUAACUAUAACGGUCCUAAGGUAGCGAAAUUCCUUGUCGGGUAAGUUCCGACCUGCACGAAUGGCGUAAUGAUGGCCAGGCUGUCUCCACCCGAGACUCAGUGAAAUUGAACUCGCUGUGAAGAUGCAGUGUACCCGCGGCAAGACGGAAAGACCCCGUGAACCUUUACUAUAGCUUGACACUGAACAUUGAGCCUUGAUGUGUAGGAUAGGUGGGAGGCUUUGAAGUGUGGACGCCAGUCUGCAUGGAGCCGGCCUUGAAAUACCACCCUUUAAUGUUUGAUGUUCUAACGUGGACCCGUGAUCCGGGUUGCGGACAGUGUCUGGUGGGUAGUUUGACUGGGGCGGUCUCCUCCUAAAGAGUAACGGAGGAGCACGAAGGUUGGCUAAUCCUGGUCGGACAUCAGGAGGUUAGUGCAAUGGCAUAAGCCAGCUUGACUGCGAGCGUGACGGCGCGAGCAGGUGCGAAAGCAGGUCAUAGUGAUCCGGUGGUUCUGAAUGGAAGGGCCAUCGCUCAACGGAUAAAAGGUACUCCGGGGAUAACAGGCUGAUACCGCCCAAGAGUUCAUAUCGACGGCGGUGUUUGGCACCUCGAUGUCGGCUCAUCACAUCCUGGGGCUGAAGUAGGUCCCAAGGGUAUGGCUGUUCGCCAUUUAAAGUGGUACGCGAGCUGGGUUUAGAACGUCGUGAGACAGUUCGGUCCCUAUCUGCCGUGGGCGCUGGAGAACUGAGGGGGGCUGCUCCUAGUACGAGAGGACCGGAGUGGACGCAUCACUGGUGUUCGGGUUGUCAUGCCAAUGGCACUGCCCGGUAGCUAAAUGCGGAAGAGAUAAGUGCUGAAAGCAUCUAAGCACGAAACUUGCCCCGAGAUGAGUUCUCCCUGACCCUUUAAGGGUCCUGAAGGAACGUUGAAGACGACGACGUUGAUAGGCCGGGUGUGUAAGCGCAGCGAUGCGUUGAGCUAACCGGUACUAAUGAACCGUGAGG